UACGAACCGUCCAAACGUUAUUCGGAUUCAUUGGGCGUAAAGGGUGCGUAGGCGGCGUGGUAAGUCGGGUGUGAAAUCUCGGAGCUUAACUCCGAAACUGCAUUCGAUACUGCCGUGCUUGAGGACUGGAGAGGAGACUGGAAUUUACGGUGUAGCGGUGAAAUGCGUAGAUAUCGUAAGGAAGACCAGUGGCGAAGGCGGGUCUCUGGACAGUUCCUGACGCUGAGGCACGAAGGUCAGGGGAGCAAACGGG
rnacentral:rRNA from 1 species